rnacentral:tRNA from 2 species
GCGCUUGUCGGACAAUGGUCAGUCCCCCGGUCCCUCAAACCGGAUAUGGAGGGUUCGAUUCCCCCCAGGCGCA